AGCGGUUAAGGUGUUUGGCUGCUAACCAGAAUGCUGGUGGUUCAAAUCUACCAGCUGCUC
rnacentral:tRNA from 1 species